rnacentral:rRNA from 1 species
ACAUGCAAGUCGAGGGGCAGCAUGAACUUAGCUUGCUAAGUUUGAUGGCGACCGGCGCACGGGUGAGUAACACGUAUCCAACCUGCCGAUGACUCGGGGAUAGCCUUUCGAAAGAAAGAUUAAUACCCGAUGGCAUAGUUCUUCCGCAUGGUUUUACUAUUAAAGAAUUUCGGUUAUCGAUGGGGAUGCGUUCCAUUAGUUUGUUGGCGGGGUAACGGCCCACCAAACCGACGAUGGAUAGGGGUUCUGAGAGGAAGGUCCCCCACAUUGGUACUGAGACACGGACCAAACUCC